rnacentral:lncRNA from 9 species
AAAGUAUAAAGGUUAUUUGGGAGAAGGAAAAAUUAUUUCUCAAUAUUAACUCCAUAGACAAAAGCCCAAUUUUCAUAAUAAGCUAGGAGAAAUCGAUAAUGUUUUAAAAAUAAAAAGUGAACUGCUUACACUCACCAAUCUAUACCCAGUAUUAAUUCUAUCCUGCAGUGUAUGCUAUAGAAGGUAAUAAAACGCUGAUGUUUCCUAGUUUCUCGUUUCAAUCUGCUCCAGCUUUCUCUUCAACCUGGUUAGCAACAGAAGUCACCCCCAGCAAUUACACAAACCUAACAACGGCUUCCCUGGGAUAAUUUGAUCCGCUCCAACCACACAUUCCAAUCCACAUACUUUCUUCCGUUACGGUUGUUGUCUGUGUGUGUUUAACAUGCUUCUUGAAAGGCUUUUUUAAAAUAUCGAGCCAAGGAUUUCUCAUCCAGCUCGCUACCACAUCAACAGAACCAGAAUAUGAUUUAGUUCAGCUUCAGAUGACAGUACAGCAAAGUAUUACUGUCAUUUCACAUUUCUCCUCCUUCUGUGCUCUUAACUGCUGUGCACCUGGGUCGCUACAGGACUGCCUAUCAUGAGCUGAGCCCUCCCAGCUGUGGACCCUGGGGGGUGGGAAAUCUUGAAACUUGCCUGACUCAAGGGCUCUCAGCCGUUGCUUUGUCACCAACAGCCUGUAUUAACCUGCUCCUAUUGGACCUUUAUCACUUUCCUGACCCCACAAAACAAACCUGGCUGGCAAAUGCAGUGAACAGCCUCCUUGAAAAUGCAGCUUGACUGUGAUUCAUGGCCAAAAGCUGGAAUAACCCUGCCAGGCCAGAGAAAAAUCGCAGCUUCAUUGUCUGAAGGAAGAGGACUCAGGAAAAUGCAACUACACCUGAAGCAAGAUCUUUUAUGGCUUGGCAAUCCCAACCUUGCCGGUGUGAAAGGACCGACCUACCUCUGGAACCCGGAGGGCAACUGUGGCAGCAAAAUCCCAAAGGUAAUUUUCACCUUUCUUUUAAUUUUUAAUAGGAGUAAUGCAGAAUCAAAAUGAUAGACAUUAAGUCACUCAGGCAGUUAGGUAUGCUUUGAUUUUAUUUUACCUUUUUCUACUCUCACCUUUUGUAGGAUCAUUUGUUAUCAAGUAGGAGUUGAGGGAGGCUUAAUGUACCUGAAAUAAACCUGAAACCAAAAUCAUUUGUGGAGGAAGAGAGAUCAUUUUCCAGAACCGUUUUAGAACUACCUUUCCAGACGGGCAGCCUUUUCAUCUACCCACAGAAACAAGCAUAAGGGCAGCUCAGGCAGGGGAGGAGUGAAAAGGGGUUUAAUGGGUACAGCUACAUACUCUUUGUGUCUUAAAGGGAAUAACUGUGCUCAGGAAGUAAAUUAGGAAGAUAGGUUAUUGUUCAGCUCCUCUGGCCCUUGGCACAUAGGCCAAGUAAGAAUGUACCAGGAUGUACCUUGGUGGGAUUGCUGGGGCAGAGAAUGACUUAAAAGCAGGUUGGCAGAGCCCUGUGUGGUCCAGGUUUUUGUUUUCUUCUUAAUAUUUUCCUUAUUUCCUAUUACAUUUUGAAGUAUUAGUUACAUCAUCUACUUGCUAUACCAUACUUCCAAAUUUGUACUUCUUAAUGGAUCUGUGUAAAGCAUUUGUAAGUCUAAAGAAGUGAUUGAAAUAGAAAAGCAAGAAAAAAAUGGAAUUGACCCACAGGUAACCCCAACAUCACACCCUUAGAUACUCGACAUACUUUACCUAAUGACAAAUCCUUUAAAAUCCUCAGCAAAUGGUGUGCCUCCUUUAAGAAAUUUUGCAGCAAGUCUAACAUUAGCAACCAAAAAAAAAAAAAAAUAAACUUUUAAAUAACUAAGUCAGUCAUUAUGCUUUCAAAGUGAAAACAGAACCUCCACAAUAUCCAACUGUCAGUUCUCUAUGCUCCCAAAGGAAGAAGCUGGGAAUGGAAACUAGCUUUGUUUAGUGAUGAAAUAGAAGCAACAGUAACAGAAGAGCCAUUGAUGCACGUUUUGUUUGGUAUAGAUAAUUGACUGAAUUCAACUUGAGACUUGACACCAAGAAGAAAAACAUAGCAGUACACAGGGAACAGAAAAAGUAAUCCAUUGGCAAUUCCUCCACAAUUUGUUCUCUGAGUUGUCCAAUUUGUGACUAGCCACAGAGGAAUAUUUUGCUCUGUUUAAGCAUUUUCUAUUUAAUUAAACCUUUGUUUAUUUAACAGUGUUGCUGCCUAUGGUGACUGUGCUAGAACUGAAACUUCUCAGGAAGCCAGGCUGUUAAAAUUGUGAUGCCCUGUACUCAACAAUACCAUGGAUUAUCUAGUCCAAAGUGGAAAGCAAGCCCUUACGGUAAUGUCAUUUGCAUCCUCAACACCCAGAACGCCCUGUUUCUCUUUCCCUGAAUAAAACUACAUUCAAAUCCCAUUGAACACCCAUGUUCAAACCUCCAUUUGUCAGCUGACAAGACCAAGAAUACUCUAAGGUGUUUAAGUCAUUCACGAGUGUCUAGAAAUUUCCAUAGGAAAACUUUGACAACUUUGAAGGCAUGCAUCUCCCCACCCAAGACCCUAGCCAACAACCAUCCUACAAGUCCGUGAGUUCGAAGUUCCCAUGGCUUCUGUACAGUCCCUGUGUCAACAUAAAGCUAAGUUUCAUACACACCCUGGAUCCUUGUCCCUUACAAACACUAAAGGUUUUGUUUGACUUAACUUCAAGCUGUUCAUCUGUUAGUAAGUACUGCUCACCCUAAAACACAUUCAUGAUGAGAGCUUUCUAAAACACCAGUAUGGCCUUCCCCUCCAAUAAUCAUAAUACUCAGAUUAGCCUAAGAUGUGCUACUGGGCAGUUUGGCGGUGGGGUGGGGGUGGUAGAUAUUUAGUGCCUGGAGCUGCCACAGAGCAGGGAAAACCUCACACUGGAACGAAGGAAGUAAUCUCAGUACAGUCCCGCUUAAGCCAAUUAUCUGUUUACAUUUGAUUUCAAUACCCUAUUGAAAACAAUGCAGUGGAGGAGGAAAUGUAAGAAUACAUAGCAACACUCUAACCUUCUUUUGCCUAUAGUUGUUAUUGCAGUGUGUUAAAGUCUGAUAGCAGGCCUCACUGUCAAUUCAUCAGGGCUUGUGCUAGCAGGUUCUGGCUAGAGACCAUCUCCGUCAUCACCAUCACCUAAGACCUGUUGGCUGUCCCAUCAGGCACUAAGAGGCUCAUGGUCUGCAAGGGUCCCCAAACAGCUGAAUCCAGUUCUCACUUAUUUCCUUGAGCUCAAUCUCACAGAUAAGAAUUAAGAUGAUCCCCAUCAUAGAAAAGCAGCUCAGAAAUGCAAACCUUUUUCUGAACCAAGAGCUAUCAGCAAAUCUCAAAUAUCAGAACAGCUCUGGUUGACUGAAAAGUGUCACGAACCCUGGGCCAAGAAUGAUUUCAGGCUCACAAACUAAUCUGUCUGGUCCUACAAUUUAUGUGAGCAGAGUCACUCAUGAGAAAACUCUUAAGAAACGUCCAGGCCACCCCACACCCCUGACGUUAGUGUAUCAGACCAGCUGAGAGUGGCAGGAUGUUAACUGCCCUCCAGGUGACAUGAAUAAAUAGCCCCAUUGUUUUCACAACCCUGGAUUCCUGCCUGAAGAAACCCUAGACCUCAGACCAGUUCUCUGGGACAAAACUGCACACAGUUCAAAUGCUAACUCUUCGAGAUAGUAUCUACGGUCUAAACCAAGAGAUAAGCAGUUACUUACAAAAAUGUCAGUAAGAAGGCCUGUUCACUUCAAAAAACAAAAAUAAAUAAAAUUUUUCAUUUAAAUAAAAAGGUACUGGAGCUUAAAUCUGUGGUCACUGCAGGGAUUAAGCUUAUGUUCUUGGUUCAGAUAACAAAACACGUCAUCUGGGCACAGAGACCUCAUAAUCAUGUUUUUGGCACAAGGGGCAGGGGAAUUUUUGUUGCUGUUUUUUUUUAAUUCAGUCUCCCUAAGAAUAUGAACAUGUGGAAACAUACAAUGAGUAUGACAAAAUUCUAAAACAUAUUACACUUAAAAUUAACCUUAACCAACAAUCUUUUGCACUCACAUACAGUCAAAAUUCUUCUAGGCAAUGAGGUAUUAAGAAAUUUCUUUAGUCUUACUGUUUGUCAGUGUUUCUCAAAAGCUAUGCAACAAUAUAUAUACACACAUACAAAAACAGGCAAUUACUUACAUUUUGUAAGAGAAAAACUUGAAGGGUCUCAUUCUUCAUAUUUGAUGCUACAACCAGCUCUUUGUUUCAAGCAAUGGGUAAGCAUUACAGCAUGGAGAUUGAGAGCAAAAAUUCUGAGCCAGACUGCCUGGGUUCCAAUCCCAACUCUGACUCUUAACUGAGGACUUGGAGUAAGUUACUUAAGAGCUCUGUGCCUCAGUUUUCUCAUAUAAAAAGUGGUACCACCCACAGUAACUACUUCCAGGGCUUGGCGUGAGGAAUAAAUGGGCAACACCUGCUUAGAACUGGGCCUGUUGCUGAAUAUUCAUUAAUAGAAAACUGUCAUUGUAUUAUAAUUGUUAUUAAGCUCAUUGCAAUAAAUGUACACACUAUCCAAAAUGAAGAUGAAUUACUGAACAGCCAGAUACAGUGAAAUAUAUCUAUGAACAGCACAUAUCUCGUUUCAGGUAACGUUUAUAUAAGUAAGAUUUUGGCAUGAAAGCCUCUGAGAUAACAACUCAAGGAGAUGGGCCUGUUAACCGUCAGUUUUCUGCCUGGUUAUCACUUGACACUUUCAACUCUGUCCUGCAUUUAAUGUUUCACACAAGGACACGAACCUAGGAAAUGACACAGAAGGGGGUAAUUGUAGUAGACCUGAUUCAUAUGAGAGAGGGUACGAAGUUCAGGCUAGUUUAAAGAUUCAUGCAUUAAGGCAAAAAAAUACUGGCAGCCAUUAAUUUUAGACACAGCACCCUAACCAAAAAAGAUAUGGAGGGAAAAAAUAGGUUACCUAUUACGAACAGCUGUGCUGAUCAUCCAAACACAUGAACCAUGUCUAGAAUUCACACUGACUACUCAGCCUCAAUAUAAGAGAACACUGAUGCCAAUUAUCUCCCUUCCUCCCAGGAUGAGAGAUUUCUCAGAGUAGGAGAUUAUUAAUUGAAACUUCGACUUGCUAAGAAGGGGCAGAGAAAAAACAGUCUGCUUGGUGAGGGAACAGCUGCCCCAGGGAAAGACCGUGGACUUGUACAUGCAAUCAUUCCUUCAUCUACUCGGGAGUGGUCUUGCACUUUAUCUCCUUCCAUGUGCACACACACUCCCACCAGGUACAUCCAACUGCCUACAGGUGCAGGGGAGCCCAUGCUCUCUCACCACAGUGCUUCUGUGAAUGCAUUUCUCCACCUGUGGGCCCCACCAUUAAGACCACAGAAAAGCCUCUCCUUCCUACCUACCUCCUCCCCAUGCAAGGUACUUAUUCCCACUGGGUAAAUUAGUAAAUCAGUACCACCUAUCACGUGAAUUAGCAUGAAAGGGAAAAGAACCAAUGGGAAAACUGGGUCACAUUUUCAGUUUAGAAAAAAAAAAAAAGG